CCUACGGGUGGCUGCAGUGGGGAAUAUUGGACAAUGGGCGAAAGCCUGAUCCAGCCAUGCCGCGGGUGUGAAGAAGGCCUUCGGGUUGUAAAGCACCUUCAGUGGGGAAGAAAGCCUUGGGGCUAAUACCCUCGAGGAAGGACAUCACCCACAGAAGAAGCACCGGCUAACUCCGUGCCAGCAGCCGCGGUAAUACGGAGGGUGCGAGCGUUAAUCGGAAUUACUGGGCGUAAAGCGCGCGUAGGCGGUCUGAUAAGCCGGUUGUGAAAGCCCCGGGCUCAACCUGGGAACGGCAUCCGGAACUGUCAGGCUAGAGUGCAGGAGAGGAAGGUAGAAUUCCCGGUGUAGCGGUGAAAUGCGUAGAGCUCGGGAGGAAUACCAGUGGCGAAGGCGGCCUUCUGGACUGACACUGACGCUGAGGUGCGAAAGCGUGGGUAGCAAACAGGAUUAGAUACCCCGGUAGUC
rnacentral:rRNA from 1 species